CUCCUUACCUGGCAGGGGAGAUACCAUGAUCACGCAGGUGGGCUUUCCCAGGGCAAGCCUUAUCUAUUGCAUUCUGGGAGUGCUGACCCCUGCGAUUUUCCCAAAUGUGGGAAACUCAACUACGUAAUUUGUGGUAGUAAGGGACUGUGUUUGCGCUUUCCCCUG